GGUUUCAUGGCGUAGUUGGUUUAUCGCAUCUGUCUAACACACAGAAGGUCGCCAGUUCGAACCUGGCUGAAAUCA
rnacentral:tRNA from 1 species